AAGGCCGGUGGUGAGAAACAAUCACCAUCUUUCGUUUGAGCCUCACAGCCAUGAGAUCAACCCCAUGCACCGCUUUGAGACUUC
ensembl:snoRNA SNORD33 Small nucleolar RNA Z195/SNORD33/SNORD32 family